CCUACGGGUGGCAGCAGUGGGGGAUAUUGCACAAUGGGGGAAACCCUGAUGCAGCGACGCCGCGUGGGUGAAGAAGCGCCUCGGCGCGUACAGCCCUGUCAGCAGGGAAGAAAAUGACGGUACCUGAAGAAGAAGCCCCGGCUAACUACGUGCCAGCAGCCGCGGUAAUACGUAGGGGGCAAGCGUUAUCCGGAUUUACUGGGUGUAAAGGGGGAGCAGACGGCGAUGCAAGCCAGGAGUGAAAGCCCGGGUCCCAACCCCGGGACUGCUCAUGGAACUGCGUGGCUAGAGUGCAGGAGGGGCAGGCGGAAUUCCUGGUGUAGCGGUGAAAUGCGUAGAUAUCAGGAGGAACACCGGUGGCGAAGGCGGCCUGCUGGACUGCAACUGACGUUGAGGCCCGAAAGCGUGGGGAGCAAACAGGAGUAGAUACCCUGGUAGUC
rnacentral:rRNA from 1 species